rnacentral:tRNA from 1 species
ACCGAAAUAGCUCAGUUGGGAGAGCGUUAGACUAUAUAUAGAUCGAAAAGUCCCUGGUUCGAUCCCGGGUUCCGGCA